rnacentral:rRNA from 1 species
GUUUGAUCAUGGCUCAGGACGAACGCUGGCGGCGUGCUUAACACAUGCAAGUCGAACGGAGAACUUAUUUCGGUAAGUUCUUAGUGGCGAACGGGUGAGUAACGCGUGGGCAACCUGCCCUCCAGUUGGGGACAACAUUCCGAAAGGGAUGCUAAUACCGAAUGUGCUCCCUCCUCCGCAUGGAGGAGGGAGGAAAGAUGGCCUCUGCUUGCAAGCUAUCGCUGGAAGAUGGGCCCGCGUCUGAUUAGCUAGUUGGUGGGGUAACGGCUCACCAAGGCGAUGAUCAGUAGCCGGUCUGAGAGGAUGAACGGCCACAUUGGGACUGAGACACGGCCCAAACUCCUACGGGAGGCAGCAGUGGGGAAUCUUCCGCAAUGGACGAAAGUCUGACGGAGCAACGCCGCGUGAGUGAUGAAGGUCUUCGGAUUGUAAAACUCUGUUGUUAGGGACGAAAGCACCGUGUUCGAACAGGUCAUGGUGUUGACGGUACCUAACGAGGAAGCCACGGCUAACUACGUGCCAGCAGCCGCGGUAAUACGUAGGUGGCAAGCGUUGUCCGGAAUUAUUGGGCGUAAAGAGCAUGUAGGCGGGCUUUUAAGUCUGACGUGAAAAUGCGGGGCUUAACCCCGUAUGGCGUUGGAUACUGGAAGUCUGAGUGCAG